rnacentral:rRNA from 1 species
GACGAACGCUGGCGGCGUGCUUAACACAUGCAAGUCGAACGGAAAGGCUCCAACUUGCUUGCGUACUCGAGUGCCGAACGGGUGAGUAACACGUGUGUAAUCUGCCCUGCACUCUGGGAUAAGCCUUGGAAACUGGGGCGAAUACUGGAUAUGACCUUUCUCCUUAUGGGGUUCGGUGGAAAGAUUCUCGGUGUAGGAUGAGUCCGCGGCCUAUCAGCUUGUUGGAGGGGUGAUGGCAUACGAAGGCGAAGACGGGUAGCCGGCCUGAGAGGGUGAUCGGGCACCAUGGGACUAAGAGACGGCCCAGACGCCAACGGGCGGCAGCAGUAGGGAAUAUUGCGCAAUGGGGGGAAGCCUGAUGCGACGGCGCCGCGUGAGUAAUAACGGCCUUCGGGUUGUAAACACCUUUCAGCAUGGACGAAGCGUAAGUGACGGUACCUGCAGAGAAAGCCCCGGCUAACUAUGUG